UAGCGGAGGGUGCAAGCGUUGUCCGGAUUUAUUGGGUUUAAAGGGUGCGUAGGCGGCCGAUUAAGUCUGGGGUGAAAGCCCGUUGCUCAACAACGGAACUGCCCUGGAAACUGGUCGGCUUGAGUACAGACGAGGGUGGCGGAAUGGAUGGUGUAGCGGUGAAAUGCGUAGAUAUCGAGAGGAACACCUGCGGCGAAGGCGGGUUGCUGGGCUGACACUGACGCUGAUGCGCGAAAGCUAGGGGAGCGAACGGG
rnacentral:rRNA from 1 species